rnacentral:rRNA from 1 species
AUUGAACGCUGGCGGCAGGCCUAACACAUGCAAGUCGAACGAGUGGCGGACGGGUGAGUAAUGUCUGGGAAACUGCCUGAUGGAGGGGGCUAACUACUGGAAACGGUAGCUAAUACCGCAUACCAUCAGAUGUGCCCCGAUGGGAUUAGCUUGUUGGUGUGGUAACGGCUAACCAAUGCGACGAUCCCUAGCUGGUCUGAGAGGAUGACCAGCCAAACUGGAACUGAGACACGGUCCAGACUCCUAGGGGAGGAAGCAGUGGGGAAUAUGGCACAAUGGGCGCAAGCCUGAUGCAGCCAUGCCGCGUGUAUGAAGAAGGCCUUCGGGUUGUAAAGUACUUUCAGCGGGGAGGCGUUACCCGGAGAAGAAGCACCGGCUAACUCCGUGCCAGCCGCCGCGGUAAUUC